UACAUAUUUUAGUCCACCAUUUUCUUUCUACCUAUUUUUGUCUCUUCCUUGUCAAAUCUGCACAAAAAAAGUCAACAACCCCUUAUAUUUGGAAUUCCAUUUGUUGAUCA